rnacentral:rRNA from 1 species
UACGGAGGGUGCGAGCGUUGUCCGGAAUCAUUGGGCGUAAAGGGCGCGUAGGUGGCCCGGUCAGCCGUGCGGUGAAAGCUCGGGGCUCAACCCCGAGUCGGCCGUGCGAACUGCUGGGCUCGAGCACUGUAGAGGCAGGCGAAUUCGGGUGUAGCGGUGGAAUGCGCAGAUAUCAGAGGAACACCGGUGGCGGAAGGCGGGCCUCUGGGGCAGUAACUGACGCUGAGGAGCGAAAGCGUGGGGAGCGAAACGG